rnacentral:rRNA from 1 species
UACGUAGGGGGCAAGCGUUGUCCGGAUUUAUUGGGCGUAAAGAGCUCGUAGGCGGCUCGGUAAGUCGGAUGUGAAACCUCCAGGCUCAACCUGGAGACGCCAUCUGAUACUGCCGUGGCUUGAGUCCGGUAGAGGAGCAGGGAAUUCCUGGUGUAGCGGUGAAAUGCGCAGAUAUCAGGAGGAACACCAGCGGCGAAGGGCGCUGCUCUGGGGCCGGUACUGACGUGAGGAGCGAAAAGCGUGGGGGAGCGAACGG